UACGGAGGGUGCAAGCGUUAUCCGGAUUUAUUGGGUUUAAAGGGUCCGUAGGCGGGCCCGUAAGUCAGUGGUGAAAUCUCGCAGCUUAACUGCGAAACUGCCAUUGAUACUGCGGGUCUUGAGUGAAUUUGAAGUGGCUGGAAUAAGUAGUGUAGCGGUGAAAUGCAUAGAUAUUACUUAGAACACCGAUUGCGAAGGCAGGUCACUAAGAUUCAACUGACGCUGAGGGACGAAAGCGUGGGGAGCGAACAGGAUUAGAUACCCUGGUAGUCCACGCCGUAAACGAUGCUAACUCGUUUUCGGGCCGCAAGGCUCGGAGACCAAGCGAAAGUGAUAAGUUAGCCACCUGGGGAGUACGUCCGCAAGGAUGAAACUCAAAGGAAUUGACGGGGGCCCGCACAAGCGGUGGAUUAUGUGGUUUAAUUCGAUGAUACGCGAGGAACCUUACCAAGACUUAAAUGGGAAUUGACAGAUUUAGAAAUAGAUCCUCCUUCGGGCAAUUUUCAAGGUGCUGCAUGGUUGUCGUCAGCUCGUGCCGUGAGGUGUUAGGUUAAGUCCUGCAACGAGCGCAACCCCUGUCGCUAGUUGCCAUCAUUCAGUUGGGGACUCUAGUGAGACUGCCUACGCAAGUAGAGAGGAAGGUGGGGAUGACGUCAAAUCAUCACGGCCCUUACGUCUUGGGCCACACACGUAAUACAAUGGCCGGUACAGAGGGCAGCUACCACGCGAGUGGAUGCGAAUCUCGAAAGCCGGUCUCAGUUCGGAUUGGAGUCUGCAACUCGACUCUAUGAAGCUGGAAUCGCUAGUAAUCGCGCAUCAGCCAUGGCGCGGUGAAUACGUUCCCGGGCCUUGUACACACCGCCCGUCAAGCCAUGGAAGUCUGGGGUACCUGAAGUCGGUGACCGUAAAAGGAGCUGCCUAGGGUAAAACAGGUAACUAGGGCU
rnacentral:rRNA from 1 species